AUGGAGAGUCACCACUGGCUGCCUCUGGAGGCCAAUCCCAAGGUCACCAACCAGUUUCUUAAACAAUUAGGUCUGCACCCCAACUGGCAGUUUGUUGAUGUAUAUGGUAUGGAACCUGAACUCCUUAGCAUGGUGCCAUGGCCAGUCUGUGCGGUAUUGCUUCUUUUACCAAUUGCAGAAAAGUAUGAAGUAUUCAGAAUAGAAGAGGAAGAAAAAAUAAAAUCAGAAGGACAAGACGUCACAGAAUCAGUAUAUUUCAUGAAGCAAACCAUCAGUAAUGCCUGUGGAACAAUUGGGCUGAUCCAUGCCAUUGCUAACAACAAAGACAAAAUGAAUUUUGAAUCUGGAUCAACAUUGAAAAAAUUCUUGGAAGAUUCCCUAAGUAUGAGUCCUGAAGAAAGAGCCAGAUACCUAGAAAAAUAUGAAGCUAUUCGAGUUACUCAUGAAUCGAGUGCCCAUGAAGGUCAGACAGAGGCACCAAGUAUAGAAGAAAAAGUAGAUCUGCAUUUUAUUGCAUUAGUUCAUGUAGAUGGGCAUCUCUAUGAAUUAGAUGGACGCAAGCCAUUUCCAAUUAACCAUGGAAAAACUAGUGAUGAUACUUUAUUAGAGGAUGCCAUAGAAGUUUGCAAGAAGUUCAUGGAACGUGACCCAGAAGAACUAAGAUUUAAUGCAAUUGCUCUUUCUGCAGCGUAGCUCAUGCAUAGUGACAACACCAUUACUAUAUAAUUUGUAACAAAAAUAAAAUUCCUAAUGGCAUACAUCAGCAAUCACAAAUUUUGAUAUUUUUCCUUGGUAUUCACCAGUAAUAGUUUAUGUGUAUUAAAC